rnacentral:rRNA from 1 species
UACGGGGGGAGCAAGCGUUGUUCGGAUUUACUGGGCGUAAAGGGCGCGUAGGCGGUCAGCACAAGUCAGUUGUGAAAUCUCCGGGCUUAACUCGGAACGGUCAACUGAUACUGUUUUGCUAGAGUACAGAAGGGGCAACCGGAAUUCUUGGUGUAGCGGUGAAAUGCGUAGAUAUCAAGAGGAACACCUGAGGUGAAGACGGGUUGCUGGGCUGAUACUGACGCUGAGGCGCGAAAGCUAGGGUAGCAAACGGG